rnacentral:rRNA from 1 species
AGCAGCCGCGGUAAUUCCAGCUCCAAUAGCGUAUAUUAAAGUUGUUGCAGUUAAAAAGCUCGUAGUUGAAUUUCGGGGUUAGUAGAUUGGUCAUGCCUCUGGUAUGUACUGGUCUCACUGAUUCCUCCUUCCUGAUGAACCUUAAUGCCAUUAAUUUGGUGUUUUGGGGAAUUUGGACUGUUACUUUGAAAAAAUUAGAGUGUUUAAAGCAAGCUAACGCUUGAAUACAUUAGCAUGGAAUAAUGAAAUAGGACGUUCGAUCCUAUUUUGUUGGUUUCUAGGAUUGACGUGAUGAUUAAUAGGGAUAAUUGGGGGCAUUAGUAUUCAAUUGUCAGAGGUGAAAUUCUUGGAUUUAUUGAAGACUAACUACUGCGAAAGCAUUUGCCAAGGAUGUUUUCAUUAAUCAAGAACGAAAGUUAGGGGAUCGAAGACGAUCAGAUACCGUCGUAGUCUUAACCAUAAACUAUGCCGACUAGGGAUCGGAUGAUAUUAAUUUUUUAAUGACUCA